AUUGAACGCUGGCGGCAUGCUUUACACAUGCAAGUCGAACGGUAACAGGUUAAGCUGACGAGUGGCGAACGGGUGAGUAAUGCAUCGGAACGUGCCCGAUCGUGGGGGAUAACGCAGCGAAAGCUGCGCUAAUACCGCAUACGAUCUGAGGAUGAAAGCGGGGGACCGUAAGGCCUAGCGCGAUCGGAGCUGCCGAUGUCAGAUUAGGUAGGUGGUGGGGUAAAGGCUCACCAAGCCAACGAUCUGUAGCUGGUCUGAGAGGACGACCAGCCACACUGGGACUGAGACACGGCCCAGCCUCCUACGGGAGGCAGCAGUGGGGAAUUUUGGACAAUGGGCGAAAGCCUGAUCCAGCAAUGCCGCGUGCAGGAAGAAGGCCUUCGGGUUGUAAACUGCUUUUGUACGGAGCGAAAAGGCCCUCUCUAAUACAGUGGGCUCAUGACGGUACCGUAAGAAUAAGCACCGGCUAACUACGUGCCAGCAGCCGCCGCAG
rnacentral:rRNA from 1 species